AGCUGCGGCUGCCCCACCCCUGGCAGUGCUCAAGGCCAGGUUGGAUGGGGCUUGGAGCAAGCUGCUCCAGUGGAAGGUGUCCCUGCCCGUGGCAGGGGUUUGGAACUGGAUGAGCUUUAAGGUCCUUCCCAACCCAAACCAUUCAUGAUUUGGAGAGGAUGAGACUACAAAGCAAGGUCCACCUCGUGCCCCCUCUCCCCAGUAAACAAGGAAUGGUCGGUGGACAAGACACAUCACCAAACUCUGAGCAGGUGGUGUGACUUUGACUGAAGCUCUAGCUCUAGUGGUAUUUUGGCUCCUUCACCCAGAAGGCUUUAAAUUCUCUGUGCCUCUAAGAUCAAGGAGAUGGUGAACCUGUGCUUCACGCUGGCUCCCCGAGGAGCGGGUGGAGAGGGGUGGUGGUGGUGGGGACGAUAAUCCUAGUCAACUCUUGCAGUAUUGGAUCACUGUAUGCCAUUAAAAAACAGCUUGUUCUAGGUCUAAUGUCUUCUGCAAAUGGAUAUCUGUGAAGGCCUCUGGCCCCUUCCAGCCCUGCCUGAAAGAAAUGCCUGCAAUGAAAUGGUUUCUGAUAAGAUGGUAUCUGCAGUUGGGUGGGUUCGAAACUGUGGAAAUGCGACAUUGUAAACAUGGAUUUGGCUGCUAGAGAGGGCAGAUGAUUAAAUGCAAGUACUAAGGCUGUUGCUGGGGUGGGGGAAUGUGAAAGGAGGGAAAAGCCGAAUAUAUAAAGGAGAUUGGAUUGCAGUUUCUGGGUCAACAGUAGUGAAGACAACUGAGUGCUGCUAGUGCUGCUAUUGUGAUAUUCUUGUAAAACCUAAACCAAAGAGUAUUCAGUGACACAGAGAGUGCAUGGAAAUGCAAUGUGGAAGGGAUGGAAAAGGGAGACUGACCAGGAGAAAAGGGUCCUAUUCUCCAGAUCAGGAUCCCUUAGGUGCACAAUGUUCCCACUAAAUGAUACUUGAGAUAUUUGAGGGAUGGGAAAUGCAGGAUCCAACUCGUUUCUUUAAAGCAAAAGAAAUUCAGAGAAAAAAAGAAGUGAAAAUCCCCUCCCCUUACCAUUUGUGGUGCAGAGGUUUGGGGCUUGGUGGGGGUGGUUCUUCAUUUUGUUUUGUUUUUCAAGUCAGUUUUUCAGAACUAUUUUUAAAAUGUACAUUUUAUAAAGUUUAUCAAGUAUUUUCAUAUUUAAAGCCAAAUGUAAAUAGAAGUCUGUAAAGGAGGACAAGGAGAAGAAGAAAAAGAAGAGGCCACACAAAGUAUAAAUCCUGCUCGGCAGUCUCAGCUAGCUAGUACCUAGAUGCUACCGGUUAGCAUGAGUUUUAGCAAAUACUUGCAAGCCUUAUAGGAUUCCUAAUGCUAUGGACUUCUCUUUAUUUAUUUUUUAAGCAUGGACUUCAUUUGAAAACCUGUUCUAGUUACUGGCAUUUUUCAAGAGUUACCAGCUUUCCGAGUGCUCGACUUGUCGAGGGCGUGCAUUGAGGUAAAUCCACUGCACUCUCUGCCACCUUCUUUUUGUUCUAUUUUCUUUCAUAACCCUUUGUCUUUGCCGACUGAAUCUUAACAUUGCAGAAUUGCACUCAGCCUCUGGCUCCGGGAAGCUGCUAGAAAGAGACCUGCAAUGUACACUCCAUGGUACCCUUUCCCCUUUGGCCAUCGGUUCUGUAUUUCUCAACACCGGUAAGCCCAGUGUAGGACAGACUGUUGUAGCACAGUUCCACAGCAGCAAAUUGGGUUAGUCCUUUAAAAGUACUGUUAUUUGUAAGGACUACACAGUGACUGACAGCGUUUCCUGGUGAGCCUGGGCCAAGCUGAUGCUUCAUUAGGGGCCCUUCAGAUGGACUGAGCUCUACCCACAGACUCCAACCCGCAUUGGUUCGGCCUCUUUAUCAAGGAUAAAGUUGGCUGAAGCGGCUCGCACAGAAGGUUUAUGCUGUAUUUCGCUUAGGGGCUGGGGGAAAUAUGUUAUUUCUGCCCUUCCCUGAAAAUACUUGAAUGAGACACAUUGUCUAAAACAAAAUCCUGUGUGCAGUGCAGUGACAAAAGCAUUUCUGAGGCAGGUGGGGAUGGAUCUCCUCCUUCCUCUGUCCCUUCCGUGCGAGGUGUCCUUGGUUAAGCAGCAAGGGUAGAAAGCAUCACUUACUCACUGUGUUUAAGGAUAUUCUCUCCCAGCCACGAUAAACUUCUGUGUUGUUAGUUCAGCACUCGCUCUUCUCGGAAAAGACAAAGGGUCCAGAUACUUCAUUUGUUCUCUUAGGUCUUCUUUUUCAUGAUGGAUUACAAGGUAAAACUGAAAAGUACUGUAAUGUCUUUAAAUUAUGGCUGCUCAUGACCAUUGUACAGCAGAAGGGUGCUGCGUAGUUGCCAUCCCACAGCCAAUGAGAAACUGAUUUUGUAAAGACUUUUGGCCUGCAGCUAUUGUAAGGUGAACAAUCUAGGCAUCUGACAGUUGUCCAUAACUAUUUUCCUGUUUGCAGCCUUUUUGUAUCAAAGUCUUCCUAAUGUACUGCACAAAUUGUGGAUUGUACAGAUUUUUAUAUAUUAUGUCUUAUUUUAUUAUUUCUAAAUAAAUAAAAAAAAAAUGAGAAUGAAUUGA